GACGAACGCUUGCGGCGUGCUUAACACAUGCAAGUCGAACGGAAAGGCCCUGCUUUUGUGGGGUGCUCGAGUGGCGAACGGGUGAGUAACACGUGAGUAACCUGCCCUUGACUUUGGGAUAACUUCAGGAAACUGGGGCUAAUACCGGAUAGGAGCUCCUGCUGCAUGGUGGGGGUUGGAAAGUUUCGGCGGUUGGGGAUGGACUCGCGGCUUAUCAGCUUGUUGGUGGGGUAGUGGCUUACCAAGGCUUUGACGGGUAGCCGGCCUGAGAGGGUGACCGGCCACAUUGGGACUGAGAUACGGACCAGACUCCUACGGGAGGCAGCAGUGGGGAAUAUUGCACAAUGGGCGGAAGCCUGAUGCAGCAACGCCGCGUGCGGGAUGACGGCCUUCGGGUUGUAAACCGCUUUCGCCUGUGACGAAGCGUGAGUGACGGUAAUGGGUAAAGAAGCACCGGCUAACUACGUG
rnacentral:rRNA from 1 species